AUUGAACGCUGGCGGCAGGCCUAACACAUGCAAGUCGAACGAGUGGCGGACGGGUGAGUAAUGUCUGGUAAACUGCCCGAUGGAGGGGGAUAACUACUGGAAACGGUAUCUAAUACCGCAUCCCAUCGGAUGUGCCCAGAUGGGAUUAGCUUGUCGGUGAGGUAACGGCUCACCUAGGCGACGAUCCCUAGCUGGUCUGCGAGGAUGACCAGCCAAACUGGAAUUGAGACACGGUCCAGAUUCCUACGGGAGGCAGCAGUGGGGAAUAUUGCACAAUGGGCGCAAGCCUGAUGCAGCCAUGCCGCGUGUAUGAAGAAGGCCUUCGGGUUGUAAAGUACUUGCAGCGGGGAGGCGUUACCCGCAGAAGAAGCACCGGCUAACUCCGUGCCAGCCGCCGCGGUAAUAC
rnacentral:rRNA from 1 species